UAUCUUUGGGGCGGGGCGAAAAUCCCCACCGGCAGUACAGUCUGCGAGCCUUUAUGGGUUGAUUCGGCGAAAUUCCGAAACCGACGGUUAUAGUCCGGAAGGGAAAAGAU
rnacentral:ncRNA from 1 species